rnacentral:rRNA from 1 species
AUUGAACGCUGGCGGAAUGCUUUACACAUGCAAGUCGAACGGUAGAGGGGGCAACCCCUUGAGAGUGGCGAACGGGUGAGUAAUAUAUCGGAACGUGCCCAGUCGUGGGGAUAACGUAGCGAAAGUUACGCUAAUACCGCAUACGAUCUACGGAUGAAAGCGGGGGACUCGCAAGAGCCUCGCGCGAUUGGAGCGCCGAUAUCAGAUUAGGUAGUUGGUGGGGUAAAGGCUCACCAAGCCAACGAUCUGUAGCUGGUCUG